rnacentral:rRNA from 1 species
CCUACGGGAGGCAGCAGUGGGGAAUAUUGGGCAAUGGGCGAAAGCCUGACCCAGCGACGCCGCGUGAGGGAAGAAGGUCUUCGGAUUGUAAACCUUUGUCAUCAGGGACGAAGAAAUGACGGUACCUGAGAAGGAAGCCACGGCUAACUACGUGCCAGCAGCCGCGGUAAU